rnacentral:rRNA from 1 species
AUUGAACGCUGGCGGCAUGCCUUACACAUGCAAGUCGAACGGUAACAGGUUAAGCUGACGCGUGGCGAACGGGUGAGUAAUACAUCGGAACGUGCCCAGUAGAGGGGGAUAGCCCGGCGAAAGCCGGAUUAAUACAGCAUACGACCUAAGGGUGAAAGGGGGGGAUCGCAAGACCUCUCGCGAUUGGAGCGGCCGAUGUCAGAUUAGCUAGUUGGUGGGGUAAAAGCUCACCAAGGCGACGAUCUGUAGCUGGUCUGAGAGGACGACCAGCCACACUGGGACUGAGACACGGCCCAGACUCCUACGGGAGGCAGCAGUGGGGAAUUUUGGACAAUGGGCGCAAGCCUGAUCCAGCCAUGCCGCGUGCGGGAAGAAGGCCUUCGGGUUGUAAACCGCUUUUGUCAGGGAAGAAAUCCUUUGGGUUAAUACCUCGGGGGGAUGACGGUACCUGAAGAAUAAGCACCGGCUAACUACGUG